CCUCCGCCGCUACACAUCCACGCCGUCGAGAAGCACUUCGGCACCGCCGCGGCCGGUAGCGAAGACUUCAGCGGCCUCCUCUCCGCCGAUACCGACGACCUGAUCGCCCUCGAGUUCCCAACCUGUCUGCCCUAGAGAACCGGCGCCGCCGCGGCCGGCAGCGACGACUUCGGCGGCCUCUUCUCCGCCGACACCGCCGACCAACUCGCCCUCGAGUUCCCCACCUGCAACCACUUCGAUGGGUUCCAGAAGGCGACCAAGGAGAUGGUGAGCAACAAGAAUGGGACGAACACGCUCUCCUUCAUCUUCGACAAGGCUUCAUCGUCGCCGCCGACUCCCGGGCCAGCAUGGGCGGGUACACAUGGUUCGGUCUUGGUACUAUGUUGAUAAGCGAGGGUGCAAGGCUCAAGGGAAGCCGGUUCUCUAACUCUUUGUAUGCUUAUUGUAUGCUCAUGGUAUCUUGGAUGAGGGUUACAAAUUCAACGUGUCAGUUGCAGUUGAGGAAGUUGAGGAAGCUGCUGAGUUAGCAUGGCGGGCGCGGGCUUUUAUCACGCAACCUUUUGUGAUGGAGCCAGUGGUUGUAUUCAUAUUGGUUAUUUGUCUUGGAUUGGCACAUCCCUGUAGACCAACUGAAGGACCAUGGCUGAAGGAGGUGGAAAAAAAUUUGGUAGAAAUUACCUCACAUGGACAGAUGAAAUGGACACUACACUACUCGAGGUCCUUGUUGAGCAUCACAACAAUGGCGAUCAUGCCCAGAAUGAAUGGAAGUCCCAUGUCUAUAGUGCUGUUAUAGGUAAUGUGCGUGAGAAGUGCUCUGUGACCAUCACAAAGGAAAACAUCAGUUCAAGGUGCAAAACCUUUGAAAAGCACUACGAGGCCAUUAGCAAGAUGCUAUCUCAAAGUGGAUUUGGGUGGGAUUGGGUCAAUAACAAGCUGUCAAUUGAUAGUGAAGAUGUGUGGCUUAAAUAUGUCGCGGCUAACAAGAAAGUAGGAUUUUACAAGAACAGGGUCAUUAAGAAUUGGGAUGCUAUCACCACCAUAUACUCAAAAGAUCAUGCAAAUGGUGAAGGUGCUGUCACUGGUGCUGAAACUGUUGUAGAACCAAUUACGGAACCCAAUGAAGCCUCUCCUGAAGUGCCAAAAAAAAAACAACGACUUGGUGAUGCCAUCCUGUGCCUUCUUGGGGAUAUGAAAGGCUCAUUUCAUGAUGCUUUGAAGUCACUCGAGCCUUUACCUCUGCCCCAAGUUACACCUCCUGCUGAAAUCCUUGCGACACUUGAGAUGAUCCCUGAUCUAGCUCGUGGUGACAUCUUGCGAUCUUAUGGUAAGUUGAUCCUUAGCGAACACUUGUACAAAGCGCUUCUUGAGCUUCCCAUGAACUUCAGGAAGGAAUGGUUGUUGAUGUUGAAUUAGUAGAAUGGCUCUUGAUAGAUAAUAUGUAUGUGUGUUGCUACUCUUAUUUCUCCUAGUUUGUGAGAGACUUCGAACUUGUCCUAAAGUUUCAUUGUUAUGCACAAGACUUGCUAUGUGUUCUGGAUGGUGUGAGACAUGUUAUAAUAUGUAAUGUUGUUGGCAAGGUUAUCAUAA